AUUGAACGCUGGCGGCAGGCCUAACACAUGCAAGUCGAGCGGAUGAAGAGAGCUUGCUCUCUGAUUUAGCGGCGGACGGGUGAGUAAUGCCUAGGAAUCUGCCUGGUAGUGGGGGAUAACGUUCCGAAAGGAACGCUAAUACCGCGUACGUCCUACGGGAGAAAGCAGGGGACCUUCGGGCCUUGCGCUAUCAGAUGAGCCUAGGUCGGAUUAGCUGGUUGGUGAGGUAAUGGCUCACCAAGGCGACGAUCCGUAACUGGUCUGAGAGGAUGAUCAGUCACACUGGAACUGAGACACGGUCCAGACUCCUACGGGAGGCAGCAGUGGGGAAUAUUGGACAAUGGGCGAAAGCCUGAUCCAGCCAUGCCGCGUGUGUGAAGAAGGUCUUCGGAUUGUAAAGCACUUUAAGUUGGGAGGAAGGGCGUUUGGCUAAUAUCCAGGCGUUUUGACGUUACCAACAGAAUAAGCACCGGCUAACUUCGUGCCAGCCGCCGCGGUAAUAC
rnacentral:rRNA from 1 species